CAAUAGCGUAUAUUAAAGUUGUUGCAGUUAAAAAGCUCGUAGUUGGAUUUCUGGUUGAAGCGACCGGUCGGGCGUUGAUUCGUCUGCACUGGAGUCGGUUUUGGCCAUCCUCUAGGAAAGUGCGUUUGGUAUUAAGUUAUCGGGCGUAUGAUCCUGGUCUUUUACUGUGAAAAAAUUAGAGUGUUUAAAGCAGGCCUUCGCCUUGAAUACAUUAGCAUGGAAUAAUAAGAUAGGACUUUGGUCUAUUUUGUUGGUUUGCAGACCGAAGUAAUGAUUAAUAGGGAUAGUUGGGGGUAUUUAUAUUCCGAUGUCAGAGGUGAAAUUCUUAGAUUUUCGGAAGAUAAACUUAUGCGAAAGCAUUUACCAAGGAUGUUUUCAUUAA
rnacentral:rRNA from 1 species